rnacentral:rRNA from 1 species
UACGUAGGGCGCAAGCGUUGUCCGGAAUUAUUGGGCGUAAAGAGCUCGUAGGCGGUCUGUCGCGUCUGCUGUGAAAAUCCAGGGCUCAACCCUGGACCUGCAGUGGGUACGGGCAGACUAGAGUGCGGUAGGGGAGAUCGGAAUUCCUGGUGUAGCGGUGAAAUGCGCAGAUAUCAGGAGGAACACCGGUGGCGAAGGCGGAUCUCUGGGCCGUAACUGACGCUGAGGCACGAAAGCGUGGGGAGCAAACAGG